UCCGGUUUGGCACCGGCAGUCUCCCUAGAGUUCCCGGCAUUACCCGCUGGCAACUAGGAAAAGGGGUUGCGCUCGUUGCGCCACUUAAGGCAACACCUCACGGCACGAGCUGACGACAGCCAUGCAGCACCAGUGCGCCACCCUCGAAGGCGGCCACGUUUCCGUGGCAUGCAGGCGCAUGUCAAACCCAGGUAAGGUUCUUCGCGUUGCAUCGAAUUAAGCCACAUGCUCCGCCGCUUGUGCGGGUCCCCGUCAAUUCCUUUGAGUUUUAGCCUUGCGGCCGUACUCCCCAGGCGGAGUGCUUAAUGCGUUAGCUGCGGCACAGAGAGGGUUGAAGACCUCCCCACACCUAGCACUCAACGUUUACGGCUGGGACUAC
rnacentral:misc_RNA from 1 species